UUUUCGCUCUUUUUUAGUCAU
rnacentral:piRNA from 1 species